rnacentral:rRNA from 1 species
CCCUUAGAUGUUCUGGGCCGCACGCGCGCUACACUGAUGCAUUCAACGAGUCUAAAACCUGCUCUGAUAGGGGUGGGUAAUCUUUUGAAUGUGCAUCGUGAUUGGGAUAGAUGAUUGCAAUUUUUCAUCUUCAACGAGGAAUGCCUAGUAAACGCAAGUCAUCAGCUUGCAUUGAUUACGGCCCUGCCCUUUGUACACACCGCCCGUCGCUCCUACCGAUUGAAUGAUCCGAUGAAUAUCAUGGAUUGAGGAUGCAAGUAGGUUAGCCUAUCUUCAUCUUCGAGAAGUGAAGUAAAUCUUAUCAUUUAGAGGAAGGAGAAGUCGUAACA